rnacentral:misc_RNA from 1 species
UGCAAACUUUUAUUUGCAAACCAAAGGCAGUUUUUGCUUACAAGCACAUAUGAGAGAUUAUUUCAGCAGAAAAGUAGCAGCAAUUUUAGCAGGCAUCAGGAUUAGCCAAAAGGUAGGCUUCAACAGCCUUGAACAUUCCUAAGGCCUUAUAUUUGCCAGCCUUAAGUUGGUCUUUAUUAAGCUCAAAGUCACCAAAGGUAUAGUAAUUGCUGCUCUCCUUGCAGAUGCAUCCUCCAUCAG